GCGCGGGCGGGGGCGCAGACAGGUGACGCCGAGGGUGGGGCUGGAAGUGCGCAGGCAUCUUUGAGCAGAUUCAUCUAUCUUCCAACUAUAUUUCCUUGCUAUUGUGAACAGAAGAGCAAUAGACAUGAGCCAUGUGCUGGUUUUGAAUUUACUAUGUGAUCCAGGCUAGCAUCAAACCUAUAGUAAUCCUUCUGCUUCAGCCUCCCAAAUUCUGGGAUUGCAGGGCAUAUAGUACAUCAUCCUGGCUCACAUUGAGUCUCACUCGAAGUAGUAGGUCAUUCCUGCUGGGUUCCACCAGGAGGAGGCGGCAAGAACCCAGAUUUGAGCACACAGCCAUGGUCUCAGACAUGGUAGGAUAAGGCAGUCCCUCCAUCCUGCACAGAGCCACAUGUUGACUGUAUAUCUAAACAUCAAAAGUAAAGCAAAGGUUAAGAGGAACAAUAAUCCUGGGUUUGUAUCUGAUCAUUCAUCUUUUCCAAAACUUGGGUGCCUGGGGCUGGGUGGGUGAUGCUCUCUCAUCUUUAGUUCAAAAGUACUUUGGAGGCAAAGGCAGACAGAUAUUUAAGUUCCAUGACAACCAAGGCUACAAAAUAAGAUCCAGUCUCAAAACAAUCAGACACUUGGUACCUUAGAUACCAAAUGCCUCAUCAGUAGAUGCACUUGCGCCACUGCCAAGGAGUAGAAAAUAAGCUGUAGAAGAGGACACAGCACAUCUAACCCAGCUUUUCUGUAAUUUACCUAUGUGACACUGGGCAAAUCACUCCUCUCUUUCCUUCCUUCCUCUUACCCCUCUCCCCUCUUUCUUUUCUAGUCUUUUUGAGGCAAAAAGUCUUAGUCUGUAGCUCAAGGUGGUUUGCAACUCACCAUGUAGUUCAAUCUAACCUCAAACUCUUGGCAAUUCUCCUGCCUCAUUUUCCCGGUGCUGGGUUUACAAAUGUGAGUCACCAUGUGGCUACUUCAUGUUUUAAAGCAAAACUUCAGUUUACCUCAAGAUGUUUGCACGCAACUGAGCAAUAUUUGGAAUAGAGAACUAUUAAAGGUCCCUUCUGGGUUGUGUUAGUUGUUUGUUUUUACUUUUGGGUUUGUUUGUUUGUGACAGUAUCUCUCUGUAGCUUUGGAGCCUGUCCUGGAACUCACUCUGUACACCAAGCUGGCCUGCCUCUGACUUCUGAGUGCUGGGAUUAAAGGCGUGCACUACCACCUGGCUUGUUUGCUGUGUUUAAAAUGUCUCACAAACUCCAGGGUGGUGUCAAACUGGGUAUGUAGUCAAGGAUGAAUGAAUUUAGGAACCUCCUGCCUCUAUCUCAAAGUCCUGGGAUAACAGGCAUGUACCACCAUGCCUGGUUUAUGAUGUACUAAAGAACGGAACUGAAAUUUGUUCAUUCAAGGCCAAUACCUACUUUUUGAAGUAUAUUCUCAGCUCCGUUCCACAUAUUCUAAGUGUUGGCUAUCUAGAUACCUUAUAAUUUGCACCUUUGGACACUUCUGGGCACUUGGACUACUCUGGCAGCCCAGCCUGACCCCUUGAAGCUGGUGAGUGGCCACCUUCCCACCACACCUCUACUGGCUAGCCCCCCACUCCCAAGCCCCAAACGUCCCUAAAGGCCCUACCAGGAGGCUAAGAGAAUGGCCAGGCCCUGCCCUACAGAAAAGAAAAAAAAAAAAACCGACAAGCUUGCCCCAAGGUCAGGCCACCCUGGAAAGCCCUGUCCCAACUGCAUGUUCUGCCCAGUUCUCUGCUGCUGCUCAUAACAGAGGCAGCCACCCUUAUGGGGUUUCCCCUCACAAUAAAUCUCUUUGUGAUA